GACAGGGAAAGACAGGUGUUAGUUAAAGAGAUUACAGAUAACAAAACCACGUUAUGACUGUGUCAUGAUUCUUGAUGGUACUUUCAUUUUGUAUGUAGACACUUGUUCACGCUUGAUGACACUUACAUCGUGCCUGAUGACGAAUGUCUUUUUACAUGUCUUCGGCUGAAUAGUAUAAUUCAUGCGCACAGAUGCAACACUCUUGGUCGUAAAUUGCAUGCUGGGUAUAUGUAUGUUGGCUUAACGCGAUGGCAAGAUAUGAGUUUUAUCCAAGCACAAAGCAUCAUACAAUCAUGCAUGAUACAAUGAUGUCGAUUGGCAGUCGUUCCGAAAUGCUACGGACGACUACGGAAAUUUACCGCGUAUAACGAAAAUUAUGGCAGAAAUUGCGCCGCUUGAGACAUUAUUAGUUGGUUCUAAUUUUGAAGUUCGGUCGCGUAUGCUGACUCGGCCCACCGUGUUCGCCCUUUCUGCGGUCGAAGGCCGAGACAAUCUGUCCCUUGGGUCCCGAGCGAGACGGCUCGGCGAUCAGGCAUCGCGAGCUCGGAAGCCCGACUAGGCCCGCGAGACCAUCCGCCAUAAGCGAGUCCCUGCUACAGCCGCUGUUCACCCGCGUUCCACGGGAAUCAGCGCAGCGUCCAGGCCUCGCGACCUUGGUAGCCAGACCCGCGCGACUAGAUCCGCGAGACCACUCCUAGAGGACCUCGAGUCGACGAGGAAGACAGAACUGCAGUCAUGAAACAUCGGCAGCGAUGACAGACCAAUUAUUAAAGGGUUAUGUCUACAUAUGGGGCGUUCUCAGAGACGCUAAGAACAAGUUCUACCCAAGAAACGGACUCAAAAGUGUUUGCAGACGAGACUUUAAAUGCGACAACUAAUUUGAAGAUUUUUUUAAUACAGUUUGGUUCACUUUUUAAAGAUUCAAAAAACAUUACUGCUAAUUAUGAAAGGACUUAUAUCAAUGAAAACUAAGCUCCACUAUAUUCUUAAGUCAUUGGUAUAAUUUACACUUCCGUCAUUAACCGCAAUAAUUUUUUUAUAAAAUAUGUAUGUUCGUUCAAGGGUAUAACAAAUUGGCAUUUGCAGUGUUGAAGACACUGAGCUUGUAAAGGAGCUUUAUUGGAUUAUACAACAGGACGAAAACAGCAUCAUCGAGAAAAUUAACAUUACAGUUAUAGUAAAUCUGGAAAUCCUCGGGUCUAAUGGCAAAUCGUUCUUUGAAUAUAAUUUCAUAACGUGUACUUUUAAAUAAUAUAUGAAACUAUGUAUGUUUCGAUCUUGCACAUCUCUCUCCUCAUAGUAGUUGGUGUAGUGUUUCUUAUAAUCACACAGGAAACCUUGCAUGCUCCGAACUUGUGCAUUGUUUUGUAUGUAAGUUGGUAUUUCAUUUUAAUACCGUUAUAAUAUGGCAGAUUUUGGUUUCCCAACAACCUUUCAUAAUUAAAAGGAACGUUCAAAUGUCCUUUUUUAAUUAGUAUAUGCGGUUUGAUAAACACAACAGUGCGCAAAACCAACGUGGAAGAUGUGUAUAGACAAUAAACCAUCUUCGGUUUAUACGAAUUGCAUGUGCCUGUACUCUUGGAAGUUGCGAUGUUUGUGUAUAAACUUAUUUAAACUGAAAUAGUCAAUAGCUGAAAAUAAAGAACUUCGUAUAAAUG